rnacentral:tRNA from 1 species
GGCGGGAUAGGUGUAGGUGGUCUUGAAAACCAUUGGCCGGCAACGGCUCGCGGGCUCGCAUCCCGCCUCCUCCGCCA